rnacentral:tRNA from 1 species
GGGCGUUUAGCUCAGUUGGUAGAGCAUCAGCUCGACAAGCUGAGGGUCACAGGUUCAAGUCCUGUAACGCCCACCA